GGACAUAUGGCCGAGUGGUCUAAGGCGCUAGCUUCAGGCGCUAGUCUUCGGUCGUGGGUUCGAAUCCCACUGUGUUCA
rnacentral:tRNA from 1 species